rnacentral:tRNA from 1 species
GGAAUGUAGCUCAGUGGUAGAGUGCUAGUCUAGUAUACUGAAAAUACUUAGUUCAAUCCAACGUACCA